CCUGACUGCUACACUGGGCAUUAAACCAGCCCCCUGCACCGCAAGUGACAAGACUACAUGGACCGGAGCAGUAGCAGUGCACAGAGCUGCAGACAGCCAGCGGAGGUGAACAGAGAUGGAGCCCACAAUAGCUACAGUAGGUUGAGGAUAGGGAUGGCGCUCAGGAUAGCCCAGAUGGAAGACAGCAGAUUGUCUGCAAGGCCAAUCCCACGGAGGAAGUCCCUCAAGCAGCUCAUAAAAUACGUGGAAGCCCCUUUCACCUGGAGCCUGAAAUAAGAAUACGGUAAGAAGAAUCGGGUAUCAGCUCACUCUCUUCUAUGGAGACAUUAUUAAAUGCUUAUUGAAUUUACACACCUGGAAUACAACUCGUGAUUUCUCCAGAAGGUAGUGAGACACAGAGCAGCCUACUACAACACCCCU